rnacentral:misc_RNA from 1 species
CGAAAUGCGAUAAGUAAUGUGAAUUGCAGAAUUCAGUGAAUCAUCGAAUCUUUGAACGCACAUUGCGCCCGCCAGUAUUCUGGCGGGCAUGCCUGUUCGAGCGUCAUUUCAACCAUCAAGCCCCCGGGCUUGUGUUGGGGACCUGCGGCUGCCGCAGGCCCCGAAAACCAGUGGCGGGCUCGCUGUCACACCGGGCGUAGUAGAUUUUUCGUCUCGCCCAGGGCGUGCUGCGGGUUCCGGCCGUUAAAAAGCCUCUCUUUUAACCCAAGGUUGACCUCGGAUCAGGUAGGAAGACCCGCUGAACUUAAGC